rnacentral:rRNA from 1 species
AAAACGACUCUCGGCAACGGAUAUCUAGGCUCUCGCAUCGAUGAAGAACGUAGAAAAAUGCGAUACUUGGUGUGAAUUGCAGAAUCCCGUGAACCAUCGAGUUUUUGAACGCAAGUUGCGCCCGAAGCCAUUAGGCUGAGGGCACGUCUGCCUGGGCGUCUC